AUCAGCUUGUUGGUGAGGUAACGGCUCACCAAGGCUACUACGGGUAACCGGACUGAGAGGUCGGCCGGUCACAUCGGGACUGAGACACUGCCCGGACAUCUACGGAUGGCUGCAGUAACGAAUAUUCCGCAAUGGGCGCAAGCCUGACGGAGCGACGCCGCGUGGAGGACGAAUUCCUUCGGGAUGUAAACUCCUUUUAGGGUUAGGAAAGCGAGGGGUGUUAAUAUCACUCUGAGUUGAUCCAGCCCAGAAAAAGCACCGGCUAAUUCCGUGCCAGCAGCCGCGGUAAGACGGGAGGUGCGAGCGUUGUUCGGAAUCAUUGGGCUUAAAGCGCGUGUAGGCGGCUGGGUAAGUAUCUUGUGAAAUCCCACGGCUCAACCGUGGAAUCGCUUGGUAUACUGCCCGGCUUGAGGCAGGUAGGGGUCACUGGAACUCUAGGUGGAGCGGUGAAAUGCGUAGAUAUCUAGAGGAACGCCCGUGGCGAAAGCGGGUGACUGGGCCUGUCCUGACGCUGAGACGCGAAAGCGUGGGUAGCAAACGGGAUUAGAUACCCCGGUAGUCCACGCCGUAAACGAUGCGCACUAGGUUUGCUAACCUCUGACGGUUAACGAGCCGAAACAAAAGCGAUAAGUGCGCCGCCUGGGAAGUACGGCCGCAAGGCUAAAACUCAAAUGAAUUGACGG
rnacentral:rRNA from 1 species